CCUACGGGGGGCAGCAGUCGAGAAUCAUUCACAAUGGGGGAAACCCUGAUGGUGCGACGCCGCGUGGGGGAAUGAAGGUCUUCGGAUUGUAAACCCCUGUCAUGUGGGAGCAAAUUAAAAAGAUAGUACCACAAGAGGAAGAGACGGCUAACUCUGUGCCAGCAGCCGCGGUAAUACAGAGGUCUCAAGCGUUGUUCGGAAUCACUGGGCGUAAAGCGUGCGUAGGCUGUUUCGUAAGUCGUGUGUGAAAGGCGCGGGCUCAACCCGCGGACGGCACAUGAUACUGCGAGACUAGAGUGAUGGAGGGGGAACCGGAAUUCUCGGUGUAGCAGUGAAAUGCGUAGAUAUCGAGAGGAACACUCGUGGCGAAGGCGGGUUCCUGGACAUUAACUGACGCUGAGGCACGAAGGCCAGGGGAGCGAAAGGGAUUAGAUACCCCUGUAGUC
rnacentral:rRNA from 1 species